rnacentral:rRNA from 1 species
GAUGAACGCUGGCGGCGUGCUUAACACAUGCAAGUCGAACGGAAAGGCCCUGCUUGCAGGGUACUCGAGUGGCGAACGGGUGAGUAACACGUGGGUGAUCUGCCCUGCACUUCGGGUUAAGCCUGGGCAACUGGGUCUAAUACCGGCUAGGAGACAUUUUUAGUGUGAUGGUUGGAAAGUUUUUUCGGUGUAGGGUGAGCCGGCGGGCUAUCAGCUUGUUGGUGGGGUAAUGGCCUACCAAGGCGGCGAAGGGUAGCCGGCCUGCGUGGGUGGACGGCCACACAGAGACCGAGAGACGGCCCAGGCACCGACGGGAGGCAGCUGUGGGGAAGAUUGCACAAUGGGCGCAAGCCUGAUGCAGCGGCGCCGCGGGGCGGAUGACGGUGUUCGGGUGGUAGACCCCUUGCGCUAGGGACGAAGCUUUUUGUGACGGUACCUAGAUAAGAAGCACCGGCUAACUACGUG